UACGGAGGGCGCUAGCGUUGUUCGGAAUUACUGGGCGUAAAGCGCGCGUAGGCGGCUUUGUAAGUUAGAGGUGAAAGCCCGGGGCUCAACCCCGGAAAUGCCUUUAAGACUGCAUCGCUUGAAUCCAGGAGAGGUGAGUGGAAUUCCGAGUGUAGAGGUGAAAUUCGUAGAUAUUCGGAAGAACACCAGUGGCGAAGGCGGCUCACUGGCCUGGUAUUGACGCUGAGGUGCGAAAGCGUGGGGAGCAAACAGG
rnacentral:rRNA from 1 species